CCACUUACGUUUCUUUUCUCUGAGAUUUACCUAGUUAUAUUUUUAAAUUACGGAUAUGCAUUUGUGUAUGAGUGAGUAUGGAUCUGUACAUAUGAGUGCGAGUCCCUGCAGAGGCUAAAGGACAGCAGUAGAGCCCCCAGCGCUGGAGUCCCAGGCAGUUGUGAGCAUCCAACAUGGAUGCUGGGAACUGAACGUAGGCCCUCAGAACAUAUACUCUCAACACUGAAGCACUCCCCAGCUCUCAACCAGCUUCUAUUAACAUCUACUCAUCCUUUUGAGGUACUAGGGGCUGAACCCGGAACCUCUCACGUGCUAGGCAACUACUCUACCCUGAUGAAGUGACUACUAGUUAGGAGAACGGAGAACCAAGGAGAGGAGGAGGAAGAGAUAGGAGGCAGGAGGGGAGGGGGAGGGGUCAUCUUAAGUCAAUUAUCUACCAUUUUGUUUAUUAGAUAGAAGUGAGCCCAAAGUAAGCCAAGCAUGAGAGUAAGCUAAUGAAAUAGUUCAAAUUAAUAGACAAUUUAAAAAUAGAGAAAGGGGGGCUGAAGAGGUGGCUCAUCAGGAAAGAACACUCACUUUAAAGAGGACCAGGGUUCGAGCCCCAGCACCUACACAGCAACAGCAGCUCGCACCAUCUGUAAUUCCAGUUCCUGGGACCCAAUGCCUUCUUCUGGCCUCUGUAGGCACCAAGCACACACUGUAGGCAAAUCACUCAGACAACUUUUAAAUUCCAGUGAGGGAGACAAGAGCCUCUGUUACGAUAAAUCUUUCCGCCAAAAGCCACCAGAGUCCUACCACCACAUGGGCGCUUUCUGCCAGCCGCCGGAGUUCUGCCUGCCGAGUUAGGGCCCCAAAUAAUACACAGAGACUUCUAUUAGGUACAAAUGCUGCUUGGCCAAUGACUAGGAUUUCUCAUCUGUUAGCUCAGUCUUAAUUAUCAUAAAUCUAUGUAUUUUAUAAGACUUAUCUUAUAGAGGAUGCCUUCCCUGGUGCCCUCUCUUGCCGGUGGAUCACAUGGUGAGUCUGGAGUAAAGGAGAAGGGGCCCACUU
rnacentral:lncRNA from 1 species